GAUGAACGCUGGCGGCGUGCUUAACACAUGCAAGUCGAACGGGAAAUAUUUCAUUGAGACUUCGGUGGAUUUGAUCUAUUUCUAGUGGCGGACGAGUGAGUAACGCGUGGGUAACCUGCCUUAUACAGGGGGAUAACAGUCAGAAAUGGCUGCUAAUACCGCAUAAGCGCACAGAGCUGCAUGGCUCAGUGUGAAAAACUCCGGUGGUAUAAGAUGGACCCGCGUUGGAUUAGCUUGUUGGUGGGGUAACGGCCCACCAAGGCGACGAUCCAUAGCCGGCCUGAGAGGGUGAACGGCCACAUUGGGACUGAGACACGGCCCAGACUCCUACGGGAGGCAGCAGUGGGGAAUAUUGCACAAUGGGGGAAACCCUGAUGCAGCGACGCCGCGUGAAGGAAGAAGUAUCUCGGUAUGUAAACUUCUAUCAGCAGGGAAGAUAGUGACG
rnacentral:rRNA from 1 species